CCCUGCGCCGCUUGGAGCCCGCAGCUUGGCCGUGCCUGUCUCUGCUCGGGCUCGAGCAGAGCACAAUGCUCCAGGAGUGUUGACCCCGUUUCUGACCUCCCUCCCGCAUGCUUGCUAGAGGAGCUGCCUCGCUGGUCUAGGCCAGAGUCCUUUCGUUUCCUUCUCUUCCUUCCUCCCCAUGAUUCUCUCUCUAAGGUCUCUCUCUCCCAUGUUUCUCGUACAGGAGCAUGGAGCCACUGCCAUGAAGGGCCACCCCCCGGAGUUUUGACGCGUUGCCUAGGAGCUCCACCAUCGGCCAGGUCCCGCGUCAAGUCGCUGGAGCCACCAGUUGCCCCCGGAUCCGCCACCAAGACCAACCCGUCUACCUCGCCUGACUCACCGCCGCUGGAUCACGAUCUUGCCUGCCCAGCCCUCCUUGGCAUCCCUUGCACCUCGCUGCCCCAGAGUGGCCUAGUCAUGAGCUCCUCGCCGCUAGGCCAGGCGGACUCCGCUGCCCUGGAUCUCGCCGCCAUCGGGGACCGGUAUCCGAGGGUCGGGGUCGUCCAUCCCUUGCCCAUGCCGACAGCAAGCCGCCGCACCAGCACCUUCAUCACCGACCAUGGUAACACGACUGCUUUGUUUCUGUUUUUCAGUUUCGACAGAUUUUCUCGCACGUAUAUUUCAUCUAGCAAAGAACCCACGAUUUGUCACAGUUUUUUCAUAGCAUAGCUGGUCAACGCAUUGGUUUGAACGAGGGAGGUACUGGGUUCGAGUCAUGGUUUCCCAAAUUUUUCCGUUGCUUGCUGUUAUUUUCACACGCACAACCACCUGGGUUGAAUCCUCUCCGGCUGCUGCAAUUCGGCCCAUUCUUUCCCCCCCCCCCCCUUUUUUUUCCUACUACGUUUUUUUAAUACUCAAGACAUGCAUAUUACAGAAAAUGCCUUGUUUUAAAGAUGUUAAUAAUUAAUAAACCAUGAAUCGGAGUAAAUUGAUUUAUAUAUUAAACCUGACUGAAAUUUUGUGUAGAUUCAUAAUUUGCAGCUUUCACAUGUGAUAAGAUGUUUCACUUGUCAUUUUCAUUGAAUUUGCAUAACUGCCAUGUUAAACGGUUUAAUUUCUAACUAAUUAACACUAGCUCCAAUUAAAAUGACCCAUAUAUGUAACUUGACUUGAAAAAUGUGUACAAUAACAUGGUGGCAUUUAUUUUUUGUUUAACAAAUUCUAAAAUUGUAUUCUAGGCAGAACAGUAGCGAAUUCAAAAAUUACAUAUGGGGACUUUCCAGAAUUGUUAUAUGUUGUUUCCGGCCUCAUUUAAAAUGCGUAGACGAUGUAGUUUGUUCAUGCUUCACCUCUUGCCAUGUUUAACAACAUUUAAUAUUGAUGAGUACCGAAAUGAUAGUGACUAGAUAAUUUGAACAUGUGUUUCGUCAAUAUUUAACUCGUUGCUUAUUGAACUUCACUUAAUGUGUAGUAGUUGACUAUUGUGCUUGCCAUGCCAUGCAUAAUUAAUUGGACAAACAUCAUAUUUGGUUGUGUAUCACAUCAUGAAUAUGUUGUGGUGUUUAUCGUCUGUUGAUUUUUUGUUUCUAGAUUGCUUCUUCUCGAUAGAGUUCGGAAAGCGUUCGGAGUGUGAGGAUUCAUUCAACUACGUUGGUUCGUCUACUUCACGAAUUUGUUCUUCUUCCAAGCGAGAUCUCACACACGAUGAUCAUUUCCCUCGAUACCACUUCUAUCAUUGCCAUGCUAAUUGUCUCAUUUCUAUCACUAUGUCUCGUUGUCUACCACAUGUUAUGAAUGCCAUGAAAAGCCUCUAACCCCUCAACAUCCGAGCAAAUCUUUUUUGGCUAUGUUAGUGCUUGCUCAACCCUUUUCUUAUAGCGUUGCUAGUUGCAUGUGCAAGUUGUUUUCCAUGUGACAACAUGAGAUUUUUUGAGAUACCACCAUAUUAUUGAUAUUUAAUUUAAUGCACCUAUAUACUUGGUAAAAGAUGGAAGGCUUGGCCUUUUGGCUCGGUGUUUCGUUCCACCUUUGCCGCCAUAGUUACUUGUGUACCGGUGUUAUGUUCCAUAUUGAGCGCUCCUAACAUGCUUGGGGUUUUUAAGGGCGCCCCUUGAUAAUUCUUCUUAGAUUGAAACUGUCUUAGCAAGGCCCAAAUUUGAUACUACAUUUGCCUAAUAACCAAUAAAAAAUUGCAUAGGGACCUCCGGCCCUCGUGGAUAAUUAAUCAACCCUCGGGCGAGUUGUCACACCCCAAAAAUUUAGUCAUAUUUUUAUAAAUUAAAAUAUUGCUUAGAAUAAUUUUUUUUAAAAAAAUAAAUUGCUUCAUGGCUCUUUUCAAAGCCUCUUCCCAAAAACUUUCCUUUUCAAGUAACGUUUUGAAGAUCAUUUGGUGCUUGAGUCAUUGCUUGAGGUCAUUUUAAAUUAUUUAUUUAAUUUAAUGGGGAUAUAUUAAAAUUUGUCCAUGGUAGUCUAAUUUUUAAUUUCUAGAUUUUCGGUUGAUUUCAGAACCACUCCUUUUCUCUAAAUUAUAAAAUUUACCCUCCAAGUAGAAGUUUCUGAAAAUUAUGAUGGGACUUGAGUGCUUGCAUUAAAACAUUUCUUUUAUUUUCAGUGGAGACCUUUUUAUAAAUAUUUUGUCAAGUUUCACUUGUUCAAAAAUGGCUUUUUAAUUCCUAAGGACCUCUUUUGCACUGCAACCCUUUGAGAACUUCAUUUACAAAUUCCACAAAAAAUUGGAGAUGUCAAGGGAUGCAUAAUACUCACUUUUAUGCAAAAACCCAUGGUUGUCCUUUGAAAAUUUUGAGCAGCACAACCCCUUAAGUCCAUGAGUUGAGCCCCAUUGGAUUAGUUUAAAUGCAUGAAUUAGCAGCCUCAACUUUCUGACCAGAAAUGCUUUUCUCAAAUAAUUGCAUUAACAACUUUUCUCUUUUUCAAAUCUAACUGUGCCAUUUUUUAGUGUCUAAAGAGACAUCACCGUGGAAAGUUUGGAUGCCAAAAAAUAUUUGAGAUGCCUUUGGCAUUUCAACAAACACCUAGAGUGCAUGUACAGAUCUGGCAUGGUCUUUCUUUGCAUUAUGGAGUUGCUCGCCUGACCCAAAAACAUUGUCCAACAGCUUGGCCUUAACCCAUAGCCUAACCUUGUUGAGUUUGAGCAGCAUUGGAGAUGGUUGGAUAUGCGAGACAAUUUGUCGAAUGGGUGCUGUGCAUGCUCUCGGCGUGUCCAGAGCGCACGUUUUGCACGCGCGCGCCUGAGCCGCCACGCCCCAGCCCUUGCCCUUUCACCAUCCCAUAGAGCCAAGCCACGCCGCCCCAAGCCCCGACCACUAGUCACCUCGCCCUACGCCGCUCACAGCCGUAACAGUGUGGCAGUCGUGGUAGCUAGCCGGUGUUUGUUCUGCCGCCGCAGUGGCCAGCACCGCCCAAACCUUCCCUGCAUGCCAGCUGCCCCCUUGGACCACCCUGCCUCCGUCCUCGUUCUGCCCGUACCGCUAGCGUGCUUCUGCUCCUCCCUGCCAUCGCUAGAGAUGGUCGCCGCCGACCUUAUCAUUGGCAGUCGCAAGAACCACCAUUGACCGCCUAUAAAAGGGACCCCCCCGAGCCCCCUUGAGCAGUGACCGCCCUCCCUGGACCCUUGGGCCACUCCACCUCUCGCUAAUUUAGCCAGAGCCACCUGCCCUGCUCGCCUCUAGCCGCAACACUGUCGCCAGCCUCCGGCUAAGUUCCAGCAGCCCCGAGCCUCUCCCGCUCCCCCUUGGCCCUUUCUAGCCUCACCAAGACAUUCCGAACCCAUUUAUCUUGCCCACUUGAGACAUGGUAGACCGUGGUGGAAUUACCACGGCGCCCGAGCCGCCGCCCGCCAUGGAUGAAGAGGUGCUCACCUCCGAGCCCUCCGGCGACCCUCUCUGCCCCCAUGAGAGGUGUUGCUCCUCCUUGGCACGCCAGUAUGCUCAGCGCGGCAAAUGAUGCCCCUAGCGUCGGCUAGCCUUGCCGAAGCUCGCCGCUGUCCCUAUCCACGCACGCGCGGGAGGAAGAAGAGGAAGCCGACAAGCAGGCCCCGCCUGUCGGCGAGCCAAGUCCUGGCCCCAUUGACGCGUGCACUGCAAUGUGUUCUGUCUGCUAGGAAGCGCGUCCGUGUGAGUGCGCCUUCCCUUUCUGUUAGCGUAUUCGUCCCGGAGCAUUUCAGUUAAUACGCUUUCUAUUCUCGGAAGCGUAUUUCUUACCAAAGCGUUUCCUUUUCUAAAUUCUUUUAAAAACAGAAUUUGACCAAAGCUUUCUGUGGCUAUGACUUUCAAAAUACAACUCCAAAUGAGUUGAUUCUUUUUCCUAAAAUUUCAUCUACUUUAUUUUAAGAUUUAUUUCAAAAAAAAAUUGAACAACUUUUAUGUGCUGAUUUGGAGUUGUGUGUUGAAUUGUAUUAUUUUCAAAAUAGGAAUUGGGAGAGAAGCAAAUUAUUUCAAGAUCAUUGGAGUGUACACCACCCUUCCUCACUCCAAAG
rnacentral:lncRNA from 1 species